rnacentral:rRNA from 1 species
AGACCCGAAACCCGGUGAUCUAGCCAUGGGCAGGUUGAAGGUUGGGUAACACUAACUGGAGGACCGAACCGACUAAUGUUGAAAAAUUAGCGGAUGACCUGUGGCUGGGGGUGAAAGGCCAAUCAAACCGGGAGAUAGCUGGUUCUCCCCGAAAGCUAUUUAGGUAGCGCCUCGUGAACUCAUCUCCGGGGGUAGAGCACUGUUUCGGCUAGGGGGCCAUCCCGGCUUACCAACCCGAUGCAAACUGCGAAUACCGGAGAAUGUUAUCACGGGAGACACACGGCGGGUGCUAACGUCCGUCGUGAAGAGGGAAACAACCCAGACCGCCAGCUAAGGUCCCAAAGUCAUGGUUAAGUGGGAAACGAUGUGGGAAGGCCCAGACAGCCAGGAUGUUGGCUUAGAAGCAGCCAUCAUUUAAAGAAAGCGUAAUAGCUCACUGGUCGAGUCGGCCUGCGCGGAAGAUGUAACGGGGCUAAACCAUGCACCGAAGCUGCGGCAGCGAACGUAUCACCCAAGACAACUUUGCGGAGUUGACGAUUGACGGAGCGAAGCGACGUCAAAGCGUUCAUUAAAGUCGAGUUGGCUUAGGGAUACGUUCGUUGGGUAGGGGAGCGUUCUGUAAGCCAGUGAAGGUGUGUCGUGAGGCAUGCUGGAGGUAUCAGAAGUGCGAAUGCUGACAUAAGUAACGAUAAAGCGGGUGAAAAGCCCGCUCGCCGGAAGACCAAGGGUUCCUGUCCAACGUUAAUCGGGGCAGGGUGAGUCGACCCCUAAGGCGAGGCCGAAAGGCGUAGUCGAUGGGAAACGGGUUAAUAUUCCCGUACUUGGUGUUACUGCGAAGGGGGGACGGAGAAGGCUAUGUUGGCCGGGCGACGGUUGUCCCGGUUUAAGCGUGUAGGUGUGUGUUCCAGGUAAAUCCGGUUCACUUUAACACUGAGGCGUGACGACGAGGCACUACGGUGCUGAAGUAACAAAUGCCCUGCUUCCAGGAAAAGCCUCUAAGCAUCAGGUAACAUCAAAUCGUACCCCAAACCGACACAGGUGGUCAGGUAGAGAAUACCAAGGCGCUUGAGAGAACUCGGGUGAAGGAACUAGGCAAAAUGGUGCCGUAACUUCGGGAGAAGGCACGCUGACACGUAGGUGAAGUGAUUUACUCAUGGAGCUGAAGUCAGUCGAAGAUACCAGCUGGCUGCAACUGUUUAUUAAAAACACAGCACUGUGCAAACACGAAAGUGGACGUAUACGGUGUGACGCCUGCCCGGUGCCGGAAGGUUAAUUGAUGGGGUCAGCGCAAGCGAAGCUCCUGAUCGAAGCCCCGGUAAACGGCGGCCGUAACUAUAACGGUCCUAAGGUAGCGAAAUUCCUUGUCGGGUAAGUUCCGACCUGCACGAAUGGCGUAAUGAUGGCCAGGCUGUCUCCACCCGAGACUCAGUGAAAUUGAACUCGCUGUGAAGAUGCAGUGUACCCGCGGCAAGACGGAAAGACCCCGUGAACCUUUACUAUAGCUUGACACUGAACAUUGAGCCUUGAUGUGUAGGAUAGGUGGGAGGCUUUGAAGUGUGGACGCCAGUCUGCAUGGAGCCGACCUUGAAAUACCACCCUUUAAUGUUUGAUGUUCUAACGUGGACCCGUAAUCCGGGUUGCGGACAGUGUCUGGUGGGUAGUUUGACUGGGGCGGUCUCCUCCUAAAGAGUAACGGAGGAGCACGAAGGUUGGCUAAUCCUGGUCGGACAUCAGGAGGUUAGUGCAAUGGCAUAAGCCAGCUUGACUGCGAGCGUGACGGCGCGAGCAGGUGCGAAAGCAGGUCAUAGUGAUCCGGUGGUUCUGAAUGGAAGGGCCAUCGCUCAACGGAUAAAAGGUACUCCGGGGAUAACAGGCUGAUACCGCCCAAGAGUUCAUAUCGACGGCGGUGUUUGGCACCUCGAUGUCGGCUCAUCACAUCCUGGGGCUGAAGUAGGUCCCAAGGGUAUGGCUGUUCGCCAUUUAAAGUGGUACGCGAGCUGGGUUUAGAACGUCGUGAGACAGUUCGGUCCCUAUCUGCCGUGGGCGCUGGAGAACUGAGGGGGGCUGCUCCUAGUACGAGAGGACCGGAGUGGACGCAUCACUGGUGUUCGGGUUGUCAUGCCAAUGGCACUGCCCGGUAGCUAAAUGCGGAAGAGAUAAGUGCUGAAAGCAUCUAAGCACGAAACUUGCCCCGA